UUUACUUUGCUUAACAAUACCAUAAAGAAAAUAUUAUGGCAGUUUUUCAGAAGUCCUUUGUGUUAUUCAUGGCAUCACUCUGCUUUUGUUUCAGUUCGUUUCCAACGGCAUCAACUCAAAACCAAGGGACUGCAACCUUCUUCUCUCCUCCCUACGUUCCUUCUGCUUGUUAUGGAAAUGAGGACAAAGGGCAGUCAAUUGCAAGCGCAAGCACGGAAAUUUGGAACAAUGGCAACGUCUGUGGUCAAAUUUACCAUUUUACUUGCGUUAGUGUGCCGAGUACACAAUUAGGGUCCGGUUGCUUAGGCACCUCAUGGCCUGUUAUGGUUGUAGAUCACUGUCUUGGUUGUAACACAACCUUUGGCCUGUCACAAGAAGUAUUUAGAUAUCUUGCAGAUACUAAUGCUGGUGAAAUAACCAUCUCUUACACAUAGUCUAAAUUAAGACAUAUUGGGAGCUCUAUUCCCUAAUGUGAGGAAAUAGUUCUUCCAAUAUCAAAUAUAUAAUAAGGGAAGACUAUCUACAUGGGCCUCAGAUGAUAAAUAGACCAUCUUUUAAUAAAUGCCCAAAAAAUAAUGAUGAAAUGAAAAAUAUAUAAAUAUUCCGCUUUUAUG